CCUACGGGUGACAGCAGUGGGGAAUAUUGCACAAUGGGCGAAAGCCUGAUGCAGCAACGCCGCGUGAAGGAAGAAGGGUUUCGGCUCGUAAACUUCUAUCAACAGGGACGAAAGAAAUGACGGUACAUGAAUAAGAAGCCCCGGCUAACUACGUGCCAGCAGCCGCGGUAAUACGUAGGGGGCAAGCGUUAUCCGGAAUUACUGGGUGUAAAGGGUGAGUAGGCGGCAUGGUAAGCCAGAUGUGAAAGCCCUGGGCUUAACCCGAGGAUUGCAUUUGGAACUAUCAAGCUAGAGUGCAGGAGAGGAAAGCGGAAUUCCUAGUGUAGCGGUGAAAUGCGUAGAUAUUAGGAGGAACACCAGUGGCGAAGGCGGCUUUCUGGACUGCAACUGACGCUGAGGCACGAAAGCGUGGGGAGCGAACAGGAUUAGAUACCCCUGUAGUC
rnacentral:rRNA from 1 species